rnacentral:rRNA from 1 species
CCUACGGGAGGCAGCAGUGAGGAAUAUUGGUCAAUGGGCGGAAGCCUGAACCAGCCAAGUCGCGUGAGGGAUUAAGGCCCUGCGGGUCGUAAACCUCUUUUGCCGGGGAGCAGUGGUCCGGACGUGUCCGGUCCGGGAGAGUCCCCGUAGACAAAGCCUCGGCUAACCCCGUGCCAGCAGCCGCGGUAAUACGGAGGAUGCGAGCGUUAUCCGGAUUUUUUGGGUUUAAAGGGUGCGUAGGCGGGCAUUUAAGCCGGCGGUAAAAUGUCGGGGCUCAACCCCGGCCUGCCGUCGGAACUGGGUGCCUUGAGUGGGCGAGAAGUAGGCGGAAUGCGUGGUGUAGCGGUGAAAUGCAUAGAUAUCACGCAGAACCCCGAUUGCGAAGGCAGCAUACCGGCGCCCGACUGACGCUGAGGCACGAAAGUGCGGGUAUCGAACAGGAUUAGAUACCCCAGUAGUC